rnacentral:sRNA from 1 species
CUUUCUAAAGACAAGUCUGCAGUGCUCACUCCCCUGCUUAAAACAUGCCGUGUUUCCUUUCCAACUUGUCCUCGAAAUAAAGUCAGGUGACUUACAAGGGCCUGGUCUGAACCUACUUCUCCAGCCUCAUGUCAUGUACUUUAUGCUCUAAUAAUACUGAGUUGCUUAUAAUUCCCUGGUCAAGCCACGUGUUUCAUGCCUCUAAGCUUUGCCCAUGCUGUGUCUUCUGCUGGAAUGCCCUUCACCACUGUGCCUCCCCUCUCCCCUUCACCUGCUUAGCUCUUACUCUUGGGCUCACUCAGGAACCUUCUCUGACUACCCUCCAACACCUGCUACAGCUGAGCUGAAUCCACCCCCUCUUUCACCCAGUGUUGCUACAGCACUUUCCACAUUACCCAGAAUCAUCUGUGUGCUUGUCUCUCUCUCCUUCCAGACCAGAGUCUAUGUCUUAUUUAUGCAUCAUUGUAAUCCCAGUGCCUGGCAUACAACAGGUCCUCAAUAUAUGCUUAUUAAACUGAACAGUGCUCUUGGCUUCUGGGUAUCCCUCCAAGUGCCUGAACCAUAAAGGAUACAGAUGUGGCCAGAGUGCCGUCUUCCUGCCAGCUUCAUCCCCUUCACAGCAGCUGCCCCGCCCCAGACACUCCCUUCUUUUGGCCUCACCCACCUCACGUGGCCCCCGGUGGCCUCUCUCUGGACAGUGGUCUGGAUAGCGCCUCUUGUUUCCAAGUGGUGUCCCUCAUGAAGUCCCUGGCACAGGGGGGCCGCACCAUCAUCUGCACCAUCCACCAGCCCAGUGCCAAGCUCUUUGAGAUGUUUGACAAGGUGAGUGUUUCCAGGCCUCAAGGAGGAUUGGCCUGAGAUGGAGGGAUGGAAGGGGGUCAGUAGGGGUGCCUGGCCCGCUGUUCCUUCCUUACCCUUCUCUUUCUGCUGCAGCUCUACAUCCUGAGCCAGGGUCAGUGCAUCUUCAAAGGCGUGGUAACCAACCUGAUCCCCUAUCUAAAGGGACUCGGCUUGCAUUGCCCCACCUACCACAACCCGGCUGACUUCAUCAUCGAGGUGGCCUCUGGCGAGUAUGGAGACCUGAACCCCAUGUUGUUCAGGGCUGUGCAAAAUGGGCUGUGCGCCAUGGCUGAGAAGAAGAGCAGCCCUGAGAAGAACGAGGUCCCUGCCCCCUGCCCCCCUUGUCCUCCGGAAGUGGAUCCCAUUGAAAGCCACACCUUUGCUACCAGCACCCUCACACAGUUCUGCAUCCUCUUCAAGAGGACCUUCCUGUCCAUCCUCAGGGACACGGUGAGGCGUCAGGCUGGGGGAGAGGAGGUUGGCACAGGCCUGACUUUUUGGGCUGUAGGAUCCCAGCAGCUGAGAUGGGAAUGGGGACCCUCCCUCACAGCCCUGCAAUGUGCCUGUGGGUCUCUGUGCCUGUGAGGGCAGCUCCGAGUUCCUACUCCAGGC